GAACCCUAAACUACUCUCUCUAACUCUUUCUCUGCUCAUCUUCAUCCCAUUGCAGAUUCGUAGCAAGUCCCUGCCGGAGAUUUCAGAUCGGUGCACCACCCUUUUUCCGCGCCAUCCUUAUUCCGUCGAGGGCAAGCACAGGGAAAACUUUUGGAAAUUUGCUAUCAGCGUCGUCGAUAUAUGGAUUGUUAAGGAGGCAAUGGACAGGUAACCAAAUCCAUGUCGUUAGCGUGUAUGGAAGCAAACUUUACAAGAGCAUCAUGUAAAGCCUAUGCUAAAAGAUCUCCUAUUGAAAGUCUGUAACAAUAGCCUCAAACUUUUUAUCAAUUCUAGCACUGUUAUCACUGCCAUGGACAUACCAAAAAUUCCACAUCACAACUUCAAUUUCAAGCCAUUUGGAGAUUUCUUAAACGAGGAUUUUGAAGUCGAUCGCUUAUAUGGUAAUUUUUAUUGCCCCUUUUACACCAAGUUU